rnacentral:snRNA from 1 species
GUGCUUGCUUCGGCAGCGCAUAUACUAAAAUUGGAACGAUACACAGAAGAUUAGCAUGGCCCCUGCACAAGGAUGACACAAUUAUUUCUAAAAAAAAAAAGAAAGAA